UAGCAGCACGUAAAUAUUGGCGUAGUGAAAUAAAUAUUAAACACCAAUAUUAUUGUGCUGCUU
rnacentral:miRNA from 1 species